GGGUGAUCUGGCUGUGGCACCUGUCACCCCAUUGAUUGCCAGGGUUGAUUUGGCUGACCUGGCUGACUAGGCACGUGUCCCCUUCCUCCCUCGCCUCCCGAAGCUGUGCGCUUGGUUUAAGAGGACAACCAUCCCAGAUAGAGGAGGACUGGUCUCCGGUCAAGGGUAUAAGAGUAGCUGCACUCCCCGGCUAGAACCUUCAAACAAGCUCUCAAGGUCCAUUUGUAGGAGAAUGUAGGGUAGUUAAGCUUCCAAGACUCCAGACACAUCCAAAUGAGGUGCUGCAUGUGGCACUCUGCCUUUCUUA
rnacentral:snRNA from 10 species